rnacentral:rRNA from 1 species
AGCUCUGUAAGCGUAUACCAAAGUUGUUGCAGUUAAAACGCUCGUAGUCGGACGUUGGCGGGCGGCCUGGGGCGUCUUCACGGACGGGUUCAGGGCGGCCGCCUUUGUGGAGGGGGGCCCGGUGGAGCUUUGUUGCGUCACCGUUUGGUCGCUGCCACCGUUUACUGUGAAAAAAUUAGAGUGUUCAAAGCGGGCGUUUGCCAUGAAUACAUUAGCAUGGAAUAAUAGAAUAGGACCCUUUUAGGUUCCUGUUUUGUUGGUUUGUGAGGACCGGGUAAUGAUUAAGAGGGACGGUUGGGGGCAUUUGUAUUCCGGCGUCAGAGGUGAAAUUCUUGGAUUGCCGGAAGACAAACAGCUGCGAAAGCGUCUGCCAAGGACGUUUUCA